GCGGGAAUAGCUCAGCUGGUAGAGCGCCACCUUGCCGAGGUGGAGGUCGCGGGUUCGAAUCCCGUUUCCCGCU
rnacentral:tRNA from 4 species